UUCCUAUGAGGAGCGGCCUUACGCCCAGCGGCCCUAUGCACCACCCCCUUAUGCCGCGAUCCCCUCGACCCGCUAUCAGCGCUCGACAUUGGGAGGUCGCCCGAUGUUGCCACCCGAGCAGGUCGUGACCGUCCUGCGUUCGAGUGGUUACUCUCCGCUUGGCCGGGUCACCCAGCGCGGCUGGAUCUACACCAUCGCGGCGAUCGCGACGACGGCCGCCUGAUUAUCGAUGCCCGCACCGGCCAGAUCAUGCGGUUUAUUCCGGCCCAGGCCGUCGAUGAGCGGAUGAUGGCG
rnacentral:misc_RNA from 1 species